rnacentral:lncRNA from 1 species
CCCUGUUUUGUGACUCAAGAAUAGCCAUAUUUAGCAGUCUUGCUAAAGUGCAAAUGGGUAUUCACCAACAGCCAUACUAGUGUGUAAUGCUACUGUAGAUUUGUAGUUGAUCAAUGUGUGCUUUAACUUGAUUUUUUGCUCAGGUCCCGGUGAUGUUGUGGUUGUGGUGGGUCCUCCGGUGGCGGUGCUGACAUCCAGGGGUGCUGUGGUGGUGGUGCUGUCCACCGGAUCUCCUGCUGGUGCUGUCGACGUCCGUGUCCGCUGAGCUGCUGCUGCUGGCGUCGACUACGACAUGCUGCCCCUGCCUUCUUCGACUGGUACCUCCUACAGCACCAUGCCCCCACUGGCGUGCCACUGAAGGUCUCUCGUUCUCUCUCGAUUACUCCCUAUUUUCCUUGAACUGCGACUUGUAUGUAUUUUUGUGUAGAAAUGCGGUUUGAUUUUGUUUAUACCUAUCUGUGAUGUAAAGGUUUUAGAUCCAAGUGUUUUCUGGUUGCAUCAUACAUAUUGGUAUUUGGUUUGUGCUGUCCACUAAAAAGAUAGGUAAUUUUCUAAGAAGAUAAAUUGAUUGACUAUGAGGAGAUACCAGAAUUAUAUGCCACUGUACUUGGCUGUUUUUCCAGUUUAUAGUGGUACACAAUAGUCUUGAUAUACAUAUGCACCAUUGUAGAUCAUUCAUCUGCACUGAAACUUAAGCUUUUCUCCACUUUGAGGAUUAAAUAAGUACUGUAGUAAGCAGUGGAGUUGAUGUUUGAUACCGAGGUGAUGAUGAACAUGUGAAUAUGUAGUCUUUGUUGUAUGUGUUUUGCUGGAAUGAUUUCCAGAGCAAAACAAUGCUACAUCCCUUGGUUACUCUUGAUAGGCAUGUCUUGAUUGAUCUGGUUCACUAGACACUGGUCUUGGUUAAUUUGGUUCUAGUAAUUGUUGCAGUUUAGUAAGUCCUUACUUUUUUUUGCUCUACUUGGCUUGAUUAGGUGCUCUAUCAAGUAGAUUGGCUACUGUUUUGGUUUCAAUUAUUUAUUUAUUAGAAUCAUUGCUAGGUUGAACUGAUCAAUUGGUAGCAUAAUAUUGAUGAUUUGCUCAAAUACCAGUCCUUGUAGGUUUUGAGUUAGUCGAUGGUCAUUUUGCUCAAACUUGACUGCAUAUUGAUCAUGUGCCUGAGAGUAGUGAUGACGGACUUUUACGGGGGUUUUACAGGGGUAGUUCCAGUUGGCAAAAUGUGAUUGGAUAAGGAGGAGGGAGGCACCCCACCCCAGCUNNNNNNNNNNNNNNNNNNNNNNNNNNNNNNNNNNNNNNNNNNNNNNNNNNNNNNNNNNNNNNNNNNNNNNNNNNNNNNNNNNNNNNNNNNNNNNNNNNNNNNNNNNNNNNNNNNNNNNNNNNNNNNNNNNNNNNNNNNNNNNNNNNNNNNNNNNNNNNNNNNNNNNNNNNNNNNNNNNNNNNNNNNNNNNNNNNNGUCAAUUUAGAUAGAUGGAAGGAGUUUGUAAACGUCUGUAGCAUUAUCGUGUGCUUGACUAUAUGGCUCUGUCCUGGUUUUGGUUGAGUUUAAUGUGGCUUAACCUUAACCAUUCAUUUAAUGUGGCUUAACCUGGAGAUUUGAGUUCUUCAUAUUUAAUAGUACUAGCUAAAUACCCGUGCGCUGCAUGGAAAAACAAACAAUUGUACUUCAUCAAGGUGCGCGUGAAACGUGAUAUAUGUAGUUUUCAACUAUCAAGAUAAUGGUUGGUGUUCUUUCUCCGAUAACUUCUUUGUCGGCAACCAACACAUGACCUUCUGCCUCUCCAUUUUUUUUUAUUUCUUGCCAUCCUCAUUUUCCACCUAGGCUGUUCGUCUUUUGUUCUCCAACUCUUACCUGUUGCAAAAAAUGAUUGUUGGCGGUUAUAUCUAUGUCUAAGUUCACAUAGUCGUCUUCACCCACAGCCUUCGACUGUUGCGAUCCUAUGGCACACUCGUCCCAGUUUGGGCGCAUGUGCUUUUCAAGAAGUGUGGUAUGAAAUAGCCACCAACAUCAAUUUCACUGGUAUAAAAAUUUCAAUACAGACAAAAAUUCAUAUGGUACUAAAAAUUUAAAGUUGACAAUAUGGCGGUAUCCCUUACAUCAUAGCGUUACUCGGCCGGCUUUUUUUAACAUGGGAACUUACAUGUGUUAAUUCGUUUAUUUUCCCUCCUGAGAUUUAUUUCUUUAGCCAUGGAUUUAUUUCUUAUACAUUUUCCUUUAUUCAUUAUUCAUAAACUAAGAAAGAAAUUUCUUCAAUGCUGCUCAUAAAAAUUUUCUAUGAAGUGGGGAUUGUUAUAAAAAUAUCCUUUUCUCAUUUCUAAGUAAUCUCUAAAAAUGUUCAUUUUUGUGCAAAAUUGCUCUCACUGCCAAGAAUGAUGUUCAUGGUAUUAAUUUAUCUUUUCCACACUAUUCAUCUUUUGGAAAAGAAAAACUGAUAGUAGCGGUUACUAUAUUUAUUCAAAUACUUCUAAAACAUAUUCCCAUUGCCUAAGAGAAAAGUUGUUCACUGUUGGUCACAUAAUUGUUCAUCUGUUGCUAAAAAACAUUCCCAUCCCCAAAACUUUUGUUCACUCUGAUUCUGUGAAUUCAAUUUUAUUUAUGUAGAUACACACUGGAUUUUUAUAAAUGUUGAAAAUCAGUUGUGUAGGUAUAGCUAGAUUUUUUUAGGUACGUGUAUCUAGAUUUUCUUAGAGAAGCUUAGUUAUUUUUUUAGAAUCUGCAGCGUAGCUAAUCACCAUGACAUUCUUUUAGGGCAGACAGCUAGCUUUCUUAAUUUAAAACAGCAGUGUAUCUAGCUUUUUCUUCCAAGGCUAAUCAGCCCUAGCUAAUUGGUAUUGCUGUGGGCUGGUGGUUACUUUUAGACCUUACCAUUUUUGUGUAUUGGAUGUAGAUGGAACGGUCUGAAUAUGUCCGAUGAUAAGUGUUGAGUGUUGAAUGACGACGUACCACCAUCACCAACUCCCAUUUAAUAGUAAAGAUUUUGGUAUUGCUGUAAGGUUGUGGCUGGUUGCACUUCUAUUAGCUGAUUUGGACUUGAAUGAUCAAACUUGGGUAAGCUCUUUCGUGAUUCGACACAAUGCUGGCUAAGAUGAAUUCUGCUCUGUUGCCUUGUAUGAGAUGCAAAUGCUGAUGCUUAUCGAAAGAUGCAUUUCCUUUUUUUUUGUAGUGCUCUAAACCAUCGCCUACUUGUUGCCUGACUUGGGAACUGUGUAUCACCACUGAAACCAACCCUAAACUUGACCUUUAAAUUAAAUGAACAAGUAGUUAAGUGAUUGACAUUGUCUAUGAAAUCUGAAUUCUACGACUUGAUCAUGUGGCCAGGAUAUGGUUCUUGAUGCUGGUUUCUGAUUUACUUGGUGUUUAUACUAGCUGUCACUUCUUAGUCAAUGUUAUCCACAUGUUGCUUUAUUUUUGGUAUGCCCAUUGGGUUUUUGUCUCGGCUGGGCUAUGUGCUGUGCGUCGGCUUUGAGGGCUGAAAUAGAUUGUAAGAUGUGUCUUUCAAAUUAACUUGUGUGCUUGGUUUGGUCGACUUAAUCAACCUCAACCUUAAACCUGGCUUGUAUUCAAUGUUUGCUGAAUCUGGAGCUUGACUUGUUUCUUAAACCAGAUUUCUAUUUAGUGUUGAGCUUCUAUUUACUGGUUGCACUUGUUGGUCUAGUAGAUAAAAGUGAUUAAUCUUUUGUGAUUCAACACAAUAGUGCCUUAUAUAUAGGGAUAAAUUGCUGGUGUUUUGUGUUUGAAAUGCAUGUCCUGCUGCUUAUUUAUCUGGCUAGCUAGUUUGUUUAUGAUGCCACGUUGGCACGUAAACGGCUUCAAAUCCAUCAGCCUGGUAGCGUUUGUGCUCCUGCAAAUUGCUUCAGCAAGUGCUUAUCUAAACCAGUAAUGUUCCUUGUGUUCAUCGCUAGAUAGAGUAUUUCCAGAUUAUUGAGAUUUGAUCCGCUAUGCUACUGUUUCAUUACAGGUUCGUUUUUGGAUAAAUUCGGUGCUUUUGGAGAAUGAGAUGCUUGUGUGGACUAGAAGGAACAAGGGCUUGACAUUCCUCGCUCGCCGACUGUCUAUGCGGCUCAUUGCCUCCGGCUGCUUGGGUGCCCAAGUUCUCGCAGCAGUGCUUUGGUUGCGGCCUAUAUAAUAUUUUGGUCCUGGUAAUGUCAAGUAGCAGUUGGCAUGGUGGUAGCAUCGUUCUUGUGAUGCUCCAGGUUCAGGCGCUGUAAUGGCUUAGUAGUAUUUCUGAUGUGUCUUGUUUGGGGCCCUGUUUGACUUUUGGGGAUGAUGACUGGCUACCUUGGUUCCGGCUUUGCUUUUAUUCUAAUUGUAAAGAAAAGGGUCUCGCGAUGAUGGAUCGAUGUUGUUGUAUCAGUUCAUCAUCGGAUAUUGAUCUGUUCAUAAUAUUAUUGGCAAGCGAGUAUUCAUCUUGUGGCAAUCUAAUACUCCCUCCGUCCCAAAAUAAGUGACUCAACUUUGCACUA